AUUGAACGCUGGCGGCAUGCCUUACACAUGCAAGUCGAACGGCAGCACGGGUGCUUGCACCUGGUGGCGAGUGGCGAACGGGUGAGUAAUACAUCGGAACAUGUCCUGUAGUGGGGGAUAGCCCGGCGAAAGCCGGAUUAAUACCGCAUACGAUCUACGGAUGAAAGCGGGGGCCCUUCGGGCCUCGCGCUAUAGGGUUGGCCGAUGGCUGAUUAGCUAGUUGGUGGGGUAAAGGCCUACCAAGGCGACGAUCAGUAGCUGGUCUGAGAGGACGACCAGCCACACUGGGACUGAGACACGGCCCAGACUCCUACGGGAGGCAGCAGUGGGGAAUUUUGGACAAUGGGCGAAAGCCUGAUACAGCAAUGCCGCGUGUGUGAAGAAGGCCUUCGGGUUGUAAAGCACUUUUGUCCGGAAAGAAAUACUUGGCCCUAAUACGGUCGGGGGAUGACGGUACCGGAAGAAUAAGCACCGGCUAACUACGUG
rnacentral:rRNA from 1 species